UACGUAGGGUCGCAAGCGUUGUCCGGAAUUAUUGGGCGUAAAGGGCUCGUAGGCGGUCUGUCGCGUCGGGAGUGAAAACUCGGGGCUCAACCCCGAGCCUGCUUCCGAUACGGGCAGACUAGAGGUAUGCAGGGGAGAAUGGAAUUCCUGGUGUAGCGGUGAAAUGCGCAGAUAUCAGGAGGAACACCGGUGGCGAAGGCGGUUCUCUGGGCAUUACCUGACGCUGAGGAGCGAAAGUGUGGGGAGCGAACAGG
rnacentral:rRNA from 1 species